rnacentral:rRNA from 16 species
GCAUCUGGUGGAUGCCUUGGCGGCAACAGGCGAUGAAAGACGUAGUAGCCUGCGAUAAGCCUCGGGGAGCUGGCAAACAAGCUUUGAUCCGAGGAUUUCUGAAUGGGGCAACCCACGGCUUAGGCCGUAUCCCGCAAGGGAGGCUAACGCAGGGAACUGAAACAUCUAAGUACCUGCAGGAAAAGAAAUCAACCGAGAUUCCCCUAGUAGUGGCGAGCGAACGGGGAGUAGCCCUUAAGUUUUGUGCGGUUUAGUGGAACAGUCUGGAAAGUCUGGUCAUAGCGGGUGAUAGCCCCGUACACGAAAAACUGCAUGAGAUGAAAUCGAGUAAGGCGAGGCACGUGAAACCUUGUCUGAAUAUGGGGGGACCAUCCUC